AUCAACCGAGAUUCCCCCAGUAGCGGCGAGCGAACGGGGAGCAGCCCAGAGCCUGAAUCAGUGUGUGUGUUAGUGGAAGCGUCUGGAAAGGCGCGCGAUACAGGGUGACAGCCCCGUACACAAAAAUGCACAUGCUGUGAGCUCGAUGAGUAGGGCGGGACACGUGGUAUCCUGUCUGAAUAUGGGGGGACCAUCCUCCAAGGCUAAAUACUCCUGACUGACCGAUAGUGAACCAGUACCGUGAGGGAAAGGCGAAAAGAACCCCGGCGAGGGGAGUGAAAAAGAACCUGAAACCGUGUACGUACAAGCAGUGGGAGCACGCUUAGGCGUGUGACUGCGUACCUUUUGUAUAAUGGGUCAGCGACUUAUAUUCUGUAGCAAGGUUAACCGAAUAGGGGAGCCGAAGGGAAACCGAGUCUUAACUGGGCGUUAAGUUGCAGGGUAUAGACCCGAAACCCGGUGAUCUAGCCAUGGGCAGGUUGAAGGUUGGGUAACACUAACUGGAGGACCGAACCGACUAAUGUUGAAAAAUUAGCGGAUGACUUGUGGCUGGGGGUGAAAGGCCAAUCAAACCGGGAGAUAGCUGGUUCUCCCCGAAAGCUAUUUAGGUAGCGCCUCGUGAAUUCAUCUCCGGGGGUAGAGCACUGUUUCGGCAAGGGGGUCAUCCCGACUUACCAACCCGAUGCAAACUGCGAAUACCGGAGAAUGUUAUCACGGGAGACACACGGCGGGUGCUAACGUCCGUCGUGAAGAGGGAAACAACCCAGACCGCCAGCUAAGGUCCCAAAGUCAUGGUUAAGUGGGAAACGAUGUGGGAAGGCCCAGACAGCCAGGAUGUUGGCUUAGAAGCAGCCAUCAUUUAAAGAAAGCGUAAUAGCUCACUGGUCGAGUCGGCCUGCGCGGAAGAUGUAACGGGGCUAAACCAUGCACCGAAGCUGCGGCAGCGACGCUUAUGCGUUGUUGGGUAGGGGAGCGUUCUGUAAGCCUGUGAAGGUGUACUGUGAGGUAUGCUGGAGGUAUCAGAAGUGCGAAUGCUGACAUAAGUAACGAUAAAGCGGGUGAAAAGCCCGCUCGCCGGAAGACCAAGGGUUCCUGUCCAACGUUAAUCGGGGCAGGGUGAGUCGACCCCUAAGGCGAGGCCGAAAGGCGUAGUCGAUGGGAAACAGGUUAAUAUUCCUGUACUUGGUGUUACUGCGAAGGGGGGACGGAGAAGGCUAUGUUGGCCGGGCGACGGUUGUCCCGGUUUAAGCGUGUAGGCUGGUUUUCCAGGCAAAUCCGGAAAAUCAAGGCUGAGGCGUGAUGACGAGGCACUACGGUGCUGAAGCAACAAAUGCCCUGCUUCCAGGAAAAGCCUCUAAGCAUCAGGUAACAUCAAAUCGUACCCCAAACCGACACAGGUGGUCAGGUAGAGAAUACCAAGGCGCUUGAGAGAACUCGGGUGAAGGAACUAGGCAAAAUGGUGCCGUAACUUCGGGAGAAGGCACGCUGAUAUGUAGGUGAAGUCCCUCGCGGAUGGAGCUGAAAUCAGUCGAAGAUACCAGCUGGCUGCAACUGUUUAUUAAAAACACAGCACUGUGCAAACACGAAAGUGGACGUAUACGGUGUGACGCCUGCCCGGUGCCGGAAGGUUAAUUGAUGGGGUCAGCGCAAGCGAAGCUCUUGAUCGAAGCCCCGGUAAACGGCGGCCGUAACUAUAACGGUCCUAAGGUAGCGAAAUUCCUUGUCGGGUAAGUUCCGACCUGCACGAAUGGCGUAAUGAUGGCCAGGCUGUCUCCACCCGAGACUCAGUGAAAUUGAACUCGCUGUGAAGAUGCAGUGUACCCGCGGCAAGACGGAAAGACCCCGUGAACCUUUACUAUAGCUUGACACUGAACAUUGAGCCUUGAUGUGUAGGAUAGGUGGGAGGCUUUGAAGUGUGGACGCCAGUCUGCAUGGAGCCGACCUUGAAAUACCACCCUUUAAUGUUUGAUGUUCUAACGUGGACCCGUAAUCCGGGUUGCGGACAGUGUCUGGUGGGUAGUUUGACUGGGGCGGUCUCCUCCUAAAGAGUAACGGAGGAGCACGAAGGUUGGCUAAUCCUGGUCGGACAUCAGGAGGUUAGUGCAAUGGCAUAAGCCAGCUUGACUGCGAGCGUGACGGCGCGAGCAGGUGCGAAAGCAGGUCAUAGUGAUCCGGUGGUUCUGAAUGGAAGGGCCAUCGCUCAACGGAUAAAAGGUACUCCGGGGAUAACAGGCUGAUACCGCCCAAGAGUUCAUAUCGACGGCGGUGUUUGGCACCUCGAUGUCGGCUCAUCACAUCCUGGGGCUGAAGUAGGUCCCAAGGGUAUGGCUGUUCGCCAUUUAAAGUGGUACGCGAGCUGGGUUUAGAACGUCGUGAGACAGUUCGGUCCCUA
rnacentral:rRNA from 1 species